rnacentral:rRNA from 1 species
AGAGUUUGAUCCUGGCUCAGAACGAACGCUGGCGGCAGGCCUCAAACAUGCAAGUCUAGGGGGUGUAGCAAUACAUCACCGGCGGACGGGUGCGUAACACGUGGGAAUAUACCUUUUGGUUCGGAACAACGCAGGGAAACUUGCGCUAAUACCGAAUGUGCCCUUACGGGGAAAGAUUUAUCGCCAAAGGAUUAGCCCGCGUAGGAUUAGCUAGUUGGUGAGGUAAUGGCUCACCAAGGCUCCGAUCCUUAGCUGUUCUGAGAGGAAGAUCAGCCACACUGGGACUGAGACACGGCCCAGACUCCUACGGGAGGCAGCAGUUGGGAAUCUUGGACAAUGGGGGAAACCCUGAUCCAGCCAUGCCGCGUGAGUGAUGAAGGCCUUCGGGUUGUAAAACUCUU